rfam:Salmo salar isolate Sally breed double haploid chromosome ssa03, whole genome shotgun sequence.
CGACUCUGGUUUCUCUUCAUUACGCACAAGCCUUUCGCCUUUUACUAAAGACUUCCGUGGAGAGGAACACUUACGAGUUCAACGUAUUUUUGGAGGGCUUUGCUUCUGGCAGAGCC